AGGUGAGAUGGGAAGGGGUAGGAUAGAAAAAAAAAAGUACGUGGAGGCAUUUUUUCUGCAAGAAGAAAGGUAUGUUGGAAUUGCAUCUUCAUUCUAUUUGCAGCUGUUUUUACUCUGGCAGUGCUGAGCAGAUUUGUUUCAGUCAGGAAUACAUUAAGACUCUGGCACACUGUAAUUUGGAAUACCUUCCCUCUGGCUGUGUUUCAACACUAUUGGGAUCUUGUUAUCAAUACCAGCUUAAGGAAGUCCUGCCUUUCUCUUGGGUGGACACAGCCGGGAAAUGGAUCGGCAAAAUUAUCUGUGUUAAAAACAAACCCCUGCUCACAAGAAACAGGCAUGUGUGGUGGAGUAGGAAGGAGUUGGAGGUGGUGGGCAGGAGCUCAUCGAGAUGUUAUUGCUCCCAAUGCCCCCAUGUAAUCAUACCGCAGGCUCAGAUACCACAGAGGGACCAGCUAUUGGGGUGUAGCUUGCAGCUUUUUGUAUCAGUGUGCUGUAAAUCUAGGUAAUGCCAUCAGUCCUGGAGGUAAGCAGCUGAGGAUGCAUUUAAAGAAGUAAGGAGAAAGUGAAAAAUAUAAAUGGAGAGACAGAUCCAGCACAUGGAGAGGGCCUUCAUGGAGUAUGAGGGCACAUCAGACAUAAACAGAGAAUUAUCACGUAUGCUGCACACAUAUAUUAUCUGCAGUUACAUUAGCACAUGCUCUAGACCUGAAAUUGUUACUACCUAUUCAUUGUGAAAAAAAAUCAGAUUCUUAACUAAUACAAAACCUGAUAUCUAACACGAGACCUAAGCUGUCUUGUGGUGGUUGUGUCGUGGUCUUUGAUUAAAAGGAGAGGUCAGAAAUUACUCAUAGUAAUGGUUGCUAUUUAUGCGGUGCCUCUUUAACUAGAGCUAGUGCAGAGUGCCUGCAGAUCUGUUUUCAGUUACUCAGAAUCCUCAUCAUGCAUCAUAUUUAUGCAAGAAUAAAAUUCAUCCAAAAUUUCCAAACUUGGUAUGUAGAGCAAGUGUCUUGUUUGCAAAGGUAUGAACCACUGAACUUGGUUAUUCAGCACAUUUGAAAUUCAAUCUGCUGCUCUGAGGUAGCUGGGUACGGCUGGUGAGAGACUAGCUACAGACACUCCACUUUGGCUUGACAGGCAUGUGAGACUUCACAAAAUGGAUCAGGCAUCAAAUGCUCCCUGAGAACAGAGGGAGGUUGUCUUAUUUACUUUCAGAGGUGUUUCUGCAGGGCUUUUUCUUUCAUCAGAAAUCUAGUUUAAGAAAUUGCAAAUGUUCACACAUUUGUCCUAAAUAAAAUACACACGUUUUCUUGACAGAAACGCUUUCAUCCUCAAAAACUUAAUCUUGAAUGAAAAAGGAAAGAGGCAACCAGAAGGGAAAAUAAUUAAUAAUAAUAAAGUCCCACACCAGACUCUCAAGCUUCAUCAGUUCUCUUUGCUCCUCCAGUGUUGUCCUUCUAAGAGACAUUGUUUUUCCUAACUGCUCAUUUAUCCAAGACCAAUUGCUAGGUACUGGUUUGGAAGAAGGAAAGAAUGAAAAAGAAGAGAAUGACUGUCUGAACUUUCAGUGUGAUGACUCCAAGAAUAAGGCAGGAGAUGCAAGAUCCAUCCAUGCAAGAAUUAACAUACCGAGCAGUUUUCUUUGCCGUGAUGACCUAUACUGGAAGCUGCCUUUUCUUUUUAAUCCUAUGGGUAUUCAAAGCUAUCAGAGGCAAGUAUCUGGUGCAAAAAGUCACAAACUGCUUGAUUUCUCACUGCCUUGGAGGGACCUGGCAGCACUCAGCCCAUCGACACUAGAGGAUGGACAGUGUGAUGACAACAGUGACAACUCAAAAAGAGGCUUUAAGGGAGCACUCUGUGUUGCUUGUGAAACAUAAGGCACCCAAAUGGGGCUAUUUAAUCAGCAGGUUGCAGCUCCAACAGUAAAAUAUGUGCACAUGUUAAGUACACAGACUGAAAACCUCUUCUGUUAGUUGGAAGCUUUUGUCUCUGGCUUCAGGAGCAAGGAAGGCAGAUGGGAGAUUCCUCAUUGUCUCAGAAGGAGAGAAAGCAACAGCACUGUACUCCCAAGAAGCCCAGAUCCAGGUACCAGGGCCCUGGGCCACAGGGGACAAGCACAACAAGGAGCCCAGAGGCAUGCAAGGCCAAUUCAGAGAAGAUACGAGAAGGACUGAAACAAGCAGUCUGAUCAAUUUCUGACUGAACAGGAUCUGUGAAAGCUUGCCCCCACCGUUACCACUCCCUGGCUGGAAAUAGGGGUCAGGAGAGGUUGUCCUAUGGGCAUGGCACACAGCAGUUUGCUUCUGCAUCCACCUGUGCCCUACAAGGCUGAGACAGAGCACUUGCUGGGGGGCCAGGGGAGGUGGUAGUCCUGUGCGCUUCGGGCUUCCUCAUGGGCAUUGGGUGGGACUGACUGGAAAGGACUUGGCAGGGAAACGUGUCUUUCACAGCUAUAAUAGUAUUAGGCUGUGGGCCGGAUUAGGAUAAAUGGCUCCAAACUGGGUUGCAUAACAUAGAGCUAAAGUCUGCUGCUUCCAAAGCCGUUCCUAUGGGUCUCACAUCACGGGAGUGUUUCAUCUGGGCCGCUUCUUUUCUGUUCCUGUAUUUCAAACAGUGGGCUGAGGUUACUCUCAUCUGAUGGGUGGAUGGAAGUGGGAAGGCUGGAUCCCUGCGUGGUUCCAGCUGCUUCUCAGAAAACACUGGGUGAGUGUACCCUGAAACUAUGCAGAUCUAUUCCAGAGCUGAGUCUCAGAGUGAUCUGAAAUGUUAGCAGCUGCCCAUAACCUGGAUGCUAUGAGCAGGAAAGGAUGCAAACACAGCUCCAGGGGUGUGCAGCACAUAGAGGAAGUGGGUGGAGGGCUGUGGACAGGACCCUCUCAGACAGGGUGGUGAUAAAAUUGGGCACAUUGCUGGCAAUCUAGGCGGUGUCCACCAGUGCAGAUGGAGGUGGUAGUGGGACGUAUGCCUCCUCAGUACCCAUCACUUCCCACCUGCCUCUAAAUAUCACUUUCUAACUUUCUAAAUCCAGCGUCAUGCCCCUGUGAGAUAUAAAACUGAGUUCUGCUCCUUUCCUGCUCCCCUGGCUCCUGGACUUUGAGAGUUGAUGUUUCUCAUAAUGUAGGGUCUUCUUUUAAGAGGCUAUGAAAGAGCAGGGGAUACCAGGUGCGGCCUCAGCAGCUAUACUUAGAAGAAACCCACUCUGCCUGCAUCUGGAAAUGAUCUUCAUGAGCCUCACCUGGUGUUUAAAUGGCUUAUCUACAGACCAGAUUGUUGUCUGAGAGGGAACUUAGCAUAUGUGUAGAGUGUGGCCUUGCUGUACAAAGCAGAUCACUUGAAGUAUGUGCUCUGAAGUACGUGG